UACGUAGGGUGCAAGCGUUGUCCGGAAUUAUUGGGCGUAAAGAGCUCGUAGGCGGCUUGUCGCGUCGGCUGUGAAAACCUGGGGCUCAACCCCGGGCCUGCAGACGAUACGGGCAAGCUAGAAUUCGGUAGGGGAGACUGGAAUUCCUGGUGUAGCGGUGAAAUGCGCAGAUAUCAGGAGGAACACCGGUGGCGAAGGCGGGUCUCUGGGCCGAAACUGACGCUGAGGAGCGAAAGCGUGGGGAGCGAACAGG
rnacentral:rRNA from 1 species